AAAAGAAUGAAAUUAUGACAUUUGCAGAAAAGUGGAUAGAACUUAGAUAUCAUUAUUAUAUUAAGAAAAACACUCCAUGUUUUCCUCUCACAUGUCAAUUACAUUUAAAUCAUGAGUUCCAGGACAGUCAAAGCUACAUAGUGAGAACCUGUUUCAAAAAAAGAAAACAGAAAAAAAAAAAAAAAAAACAAAAAUAUUUUAAAAACUUUUAAGUGAACCAUCAUGGAUAGUAACUAUAUAAUUAACAUUGAGCUGUAUACUUUAAAUUUGUUAAGAAAAAAUGAGUUAAAUAUUAUAUGUAUUUUAAUCACAAAGUAUAAACAAUUAGGAGGAAGAAGCUCACAAGCUCCCAUCCUGCCCUGCGGAUCUCUAGAUGGUUAAUGAUUCCUGGGGGAGGAGAGGUAUGUUCUUCGAUGGUGUAGCCACUGGUAAAGUGUUUGUGUUCCUAUAAGUAACCCCUCACUCACGCUCCUGUGAGAGACCCUACUGAUGCUCAUUAGAUCACACCCCUCCACAAAAGACAGGAAGGCAAAAGGGAACUAGUGAGAGAGGGAGAAAUGAGAGAGGAAAUGGGAGGAGCACAUGAUAAAACACAUUGUAUACAUAUAUGAAAACAUCAUUGUGAGACUUAUUCUAUAUAAUUAAUACAUACUAAUAUAAAAUAAAAUCCUAGCAAUGAAGAGAGGAGAAUAAAGGAAGAGUAUUCUGUUUCUUAUUUGUUAAUACAAUAAAAAAUAAUAUACAUGAAUGCAAUUUUAAAAUCCUUUCAAAAGUCUAGCUUUUUUGUUACCUCUCCGUGUCUUCCAGAUCCUGAAUUUCUCUGCUGGAAAGAAAACUGCUGUCUUUACUACUGUUGGUUUCUUGUUCUUCCAAAUGCUUUUUAUCUAAAGCAAUUGAGAGAGCUAACUUUAUUAAAGUGAAAAAUGCUUAAGAGCAUGCUUUGAUACGAACGAUGAGGAGCAACAGCGCUAACACCAGAGCUGAGGGCCUGGGAGCACGGCUACUGAAAUGGGUUAUGUGAAGAAAAGGUUAAGGAAUUUUCAUAAAUUGAAAAGAAUUAAGUAGAAGAAUGAGGUUGAGUCCAAGAAAUCUCAGCUCUAGAGUUUAUGUUCCUAACUUUGACUUUAAAAACAAAUUUAAAGAUUUCAAAUUUUA